GACUUGACAUCUCCUGAAUUACUCUUAAUCGAGGAAGUCCCUUCGGGGACAGGAAGACAGGUGGUGCAUGGUUGUCGUCAGCUCGUGUCGUGAGAUGUUGGGUUAAGUCCCGCAACGAGCGCAACCCUUAUUGUUAGUUGCUACUAUUAAGUUAAGCACUCUAACGAGACUGCCGCGGUUAACGUGGAGGAAGGUGGGGAUGACGUCAAAUCAUCAUGCCCCUUAUGUCUAGGGCUACACACGUGCUACAAUGGCUGGUACAACGAGCAGCAAACCCGCGAGGGGGAGCAAAACUUGAAAGCCAGUCCCAGUUCGGAUUGUAGGCUGAAACUCGCCUACAUGAAGUUGGAGUUGCUAGUAAUCGCGAAUCAGCAUGUCGCGGUGAAUACGUUCCCGGGUCUUGUACACACCGCCCGUCACACCAUGAGAGCCGGUAACACCCGAAGCCCGGGAGGUAACCGUAAGGAGCCAGCGGUCGAAGGUGGGAUUGGUGAUUGGGGUGAAGUCGUAACAAGGUAGCCGUAGGAGAACCUGCGGCUGGAUCACCUCCUUUCUAGGGA
rnacentral:rRNA from 1 species